GGAGGCGAUUCUCGGCUGGUGCCGGGUGCAGACUUCAAAUCUGUCGGGGGUCGGUACGCGCCGGCUCCGGUGGGUUCGAUUCCCACACGCCUCCGCCA
rnacentral:tRNA from 2 species